AUGGAGUGGAAGGGCGGCUUCCAGGUGCUUCGUCGCCUCCUCCAGCUGGAGCCGAGGGGAUCGACCGAGCCGCGCGCCGAGGACGAGGAGGCUCCGACGGCGACGGGGGAAACCUGCGAGAUCGCGCGCCUGCCGGAGGAGCUCCUGUCGGUGGCGCUGUCCCUCACGGCGCCGCGCGACGCCUGCCGCGCCGCCGCGGUCUCCCCGGCAUUCCGCGCCGCGGCCGACUCCGACGCCGUCUGGGCCUGCUUCCUGCCCAGCGCCCGCGACCUCCCGCCGCUGGCCGACGGGGAGCCGCCGCCGCGCAGCAAGAAGGACCUGUUCCGCCGCCUCUCCGGCAGCCCCAUCCUCCUCCCAGGCGGACUCGUGGUACGUAAAGCGGGUGUAUACGGCGGCGCGCGGGCAGGGAUUUGGCUGGUCGCUAAUCAGCCGUGUGUGCGCGUGCAGAGCAUGUGGCUGGACAGGGAGACCGGCGCCAAGUGCUACAUGGUGGCGGCGAGGGAGCUGUACAUCUGCUGGGGCGACACGCCGCAGUACUGGACCUGGAUCCCUCUCGCCGACGCUAGGUUUUCGGAGAGUGCUCAACUCAGACAAGUCUGCUGGCUGGAUAUCUGCGGCAACAUACAUAGCAACAUGCUGACCCCAGGCUCAGCCUACGCCGCGUACAUGGUGUACAAGUUGGCCGACGAUUCCUAUGGACUGGACUCGCCAGCCCAGGCAUCGGUCAGCAUUGGAGGCAUCAACCGAUCAACCCGCAAGGUCAGCCUGCAGCUCCAUGCUGGCAGUGGGCAGCAAAGAAGCACGAGAAGAAACCGCCGCCGUGCAGUUGAGGACGCAGUGCUCCCUUGCAAAAGAGCCGACGGUUGGGUGGAGCUGGAGCUGGGUGAGUUCUUCUGUGAGGGGGGUGAAGACGGCGACGUGUCCUUCGGCCUCGCGGAGACGCAAGAACUGGGCUGGAAGAGUGGUCUCAUCGUGCAGGGCAUCGAGAUCAGGCGUAAGAAAUUGGGCUAG
rnacentral:rRNA from 1 species